GAUGAACGCUGGCGGCGUGCCUAAUACAUGCAAGUCGAGCGAGCGGACGAGAAGCUUGCUUCUCUGAUGUUAGCGGCGGACGGGUGAGUAACACGUGGAUAACCUACCUAUAAGACUGGGAUAACUUCGGGAAACCGGAGCUAAUACCGGAUAAUAUUUUGAACCGCAUGGUUCAAAAGUGAAAGACGGUCUUGCUGUCACUUAUAGAUGGAUCCGCGCUGCAUUAGCUAGUUGGUAAGGUAACGGCUUACCAAGGCAACGAUGCAUAGCCGACCUGAGAGGGUGAUCGGCCACACUGGAACUGAGACACGGUCCAGACUCCUACGUGAGGCAGCAGUAGGGAAUCUUCCGCAAUGGGCGAAAGCCUGACGGAGCAACGCCGCGUGAGUGAUGAAGGUCUUCGGAUCGUAAAACUCUGUUAUUAGGGAAGAACAUAUGUGUAAGUAACUGUGCACAUCUUGACGGUACCUAAUCAGAAAGCCACGGCUAACUACGUG
rnacentral:rRNA from 1 species